rnacentral:rRNA from 1 species
GAGUUUGAUCGUGGCUCAGAUUGAACGCUGGCGGCAGGCCUAACACAUGCAAGUCGUGCGGUAGAGAGAAGCUUGCUUCUCUUGAGAGCGGCGGACGGGUGAGUAAUGCCUAGGAAUCUGCCUGGUAGUGGGGGAUAACGCUCGGAAACGGACGCUAAUACCGCAUACGUCCUACGGGAGAAAGCAGGGGACCUUCGGGCCUUGCGCUAUCAGAUGAGCCUAGGUCGGAUUAGCUAGUUGGUGAGGUAAUGGCUCACCAAGGCGACGAUCCGUAACUGGUCUGAGAGGAUGAUCAGUCACACUGGAACUGAGACACGGUCCAGACUCCUACGGGAGGCAGCAGUGGGGAAUAUUGGACAAUGGGCGAAAGCCUGAUCCAGCCAUGCCGCGUGUGUGAAGAAGGGUCUUCGGAUUGUAAAGCACUUUAAGUUGGGAGGAAGGGCAGUAAAUUAAUACUUUGCUGUUUUGACGUUACCGACAGAAUAAGCACCGGCUAACUCUGUGCCAGCA